GUUAAUGGUAGACUAACUCCAACCCAAUGUGAACCAUACCAAACUGUUGCCUCGGCGGGGUCACGCCCCGGGUGCGUCGCAGCCCCGGAACCAGGCGCCCGCCGGAGGGACCAACCAAACUCUUUACUGUAGUCCCCUCGCGGACGUUAUUUCUUACAGCUCUGAGCAAAAAAUUCAAAAUGAAUCAAAACUUUCAACAACGGAUCUCUUGGUUCUGGCAUCGAUGAAGAACGCAGCGAAAUGCGAUAAGUAAUGUGAAUUGCAGAAUUCAGUGAAUCAUCGAAUCUUUGAACGCACAUUGCGCCCGCCAGUAUUCUGGCGGGCAUGCCUGUCCGAGCGUCAUUUCAACCCUCGAACCCCUCCGGGGGGUCGGCGUUGGGGAUCGGGAACCCCUCAGACGGGAUCCCGGCCCCGAAAUACAGUGGCGGUCUCGCCGCAGCCUCUCCUGCGCAGUAGUUUGCACAACUCGCACCGGGAGCGCGGCGCGUCCACGUCCGUAAAACACCCAACUUUCUGAAAUGUUGACCUCGGAUCAGGUAGGAAUACCCGCUGAACUUAAGCAUAUCAAUAAAGGCGGAGGA
rnacentral:rRNA from 1 species